AAAUCCCUAAAUCAAUACAUUGGGAACCAAGGUACAUUCCUAGAUGUCAUGUCAUAGGAAAGAUUACAGCUGUUUCAAAUGCAGCAACAAUGGAGACAAGUUCAGGCAGUAUUAAGCUGAGAAGGAUAAUCCAUUUGGUGGAUCACACAUAUACUACAACAUCUAUAUUUGCAUAUUCUCCGCUUCCUCCCAUACUUAAUUAAUGCUUAAUCUUUUUUCCUUCAAUAUAAUUACACACAGUGGAAACAUGAUCGAAUUAUCAUUGUUUGGACCAAGAGCACAGGAAUUUGACAGGGACACAUUAUAUGAAGUUGGACAAAACUCUCACGUGAUAGCAAUAUUUGUUGGAACUUCUAUGAAGCAGUACAAGGGGUCACCUCCUUUCUUAAGUGGAACAGCUGCAUGCAGAUGGUAUAUCAAUGAAAAUGAUGUCACUGAAAUCAGAGAUUUCUACAAAUGCUUACCCAUCCAAGCACAGCCAGUUAAAAACCUGCAUCUCAAAAAUCAUGAAGAAAUCCAGAAACAAAGAGUUUGUUAGAGCUAAGAGAAAUCAAUCCAUUUGAUCAUGCAGCAUAAAGUUUGAGUGCACUGCAGUAAUAAUUCAAGUAGCCCAAAACCAAUAUUGGUGCUAUCCAGCCUGCACAGCUUGUGGCUCAAGAUCAAUUUUUGAUGGAGGAAAAUAUCAUUGUUCCAAGGAUGGUUGCAUAUGCACAACUAUUGAGCAUAGGUACAAAGUUUGUCUUAUAGCAAGCGAUACAACAUGGCAGCUGUGAUUCAUGCUAUUCCAAGAUCGAGCAAUGCAGCUGAUUGGUAAACCUGCAGAAAAGUUGCUCACUACUUAUAGGAAAAGCGACACUCCACCAGAAAUUUCAGCACUUAUUGGUCAGAAAUUCACUUUUAUUGUUCGAGUACUCCCGGAGAAGAAACUUAUUGCUCAUGAUCCAACAUUUGAAGUACUGAAUAUAAAGAAAACCUUUGGAAAGCAGUUGCAUAUCCCAAAUGUUAAAAUAGAGAGACAACCAGCUUCUUCUACCACCUCAACUUCUGAGAAACAAAACCUUCCACCUCUGGUACCUAUUUGUCCCAAGCAAUGGCAAAACAAGUCAUCAUCUUCUAGCAGUCAGCAGAAUUACAAUAUUGAUGACUGGGAAACUGAACUGACUGGAAUAUUACAAGACAAGACCACAAGAAAAGCACUGCAUAUAAAGAAUGAAGAACAGCUUGAAGACACACGCGAAAAGGAUGAUCUCAAUCAGAAAGCCAAAAGGUCACAUACAUAGAUCAAAGCCGGUUACAGAGUUCACAGGAUCAGGCGACAUCUUUGUCACCCUCUUUUGGAUGUGUAUCUACAUAGACACAUCAGCUACAACCUUAGUUUAUAAAUGCUAUGCUAUAAUGCCAAAUCUAGGUGUUUCAGUGAAUGCACUGUAUUUUGUUCUACGUAUAACGCUUAAAUGUUUACGAAGGCCAAAAACUAGUCCUCUUUGCAACUAUGAAAAACCAAAGAUACAGCAAGUCUGUAAUAUUUUGGUGUAUCAUAUAUGCAAGUUAUCAUAAGAAAAAAAUUACGUGCAUGCAACGAA